CCUACGGGUGGCAGCAGUGAGGAAUAUUGGUCAAUGGCCGAGAGUCUGAACCAGCCAAGCCGCGUGAAGGAUGACUGCCUUAUGGGUUUAAAACUCUUUUUAUAUGGGAAUAAAAUGUUCCACGUGUGGGAUUUUGUAUGUACCAUAUGAAUAAGGAUCGGCUAAACCCGUGCCAGCAGCCGCGGUAAUACGGAGGUUCCGAGCGUUAUCCGGAUUUAUUGGGUUUAAGGGGAGCGAAGGUGGAUGGUUAAGUCAGUUGUGAAAGUUUGCGGCUCAACCGGAGAAUUGCAGUUGAUACUGGCAGGCUUGAGUGCGGUAGAGGUGGGCGGAAUGCGUGGUGUAGCGGUGAAAUGCUUAGAUAUCACGAAGAACUCCGAUUGCGAAGGCAGCUCACUAGACUGCGACUGACGCUGAGGCUCGAAAGCGUGGGUAUCAAACAGGAUUAGAUACCCGUGUAGUC
rnacentral:rRNA from 1 species